GUCGAACGGCAGCGGACCUUCGGGUGCCGGCGAGUGGCGAACGGGUGAGUAAAGUAUCGGAACGUACCUUUCAGUGGGGGAUAACGUAGCGAAAGUUACGCUAAUACCGCAUAUUCUCUGAGGAGGAAAGCAGGGGACCUUCGGGCCUUGCGCUGAUUGAGCGGCCGAUAUCAAUUAGCUAGUUGGUGGGGUAAAGGCCUACCAAGGCGACGAUCUGUAGCGGGUCUGAGAGGAUGAUCCGCCACACUGGAACUGAGACACGGUCCAGACUCCUACGGGAGGCAGCAGUGGGGAAUUUUGGACAAUGGGCGCAAGCCUGAUCCAGCCAUGCCGCGUGAGUGAAGAAGGCCUUCGGGUUGUAAAGCUCUUUCGGCCGGGAAGAAAUCGCAUCGGUUAAUACCCGGUGUGGAUGACGGUACCGGAAUAAGAAGCACCGGCUAACUACGUGCCAGCAGCCGCGGUAAUACGUAGGGUGCGAGCGUUAAUCGGAAUUACUGGGCGUAAAGCGUGCGCAGGCGGUUUUGUAAGACAGGCGUGAAAUCCCCGGGCUCAACCUGGGAACUGCGCUUGUGACUGCAAGGCUAGAGUAUGGCAGAGGGGGGUGGAAUUCCACGUGUAGCAGUGAAAUGCGUAGAGAUGUGGAGGAACACCGAUGGCGAAGGCAGCCCCCUGGGCCAAUACUGACGCUCAUGCACGAAAGCGUGGGUAGCAAACAGGAUUAGAUACCCUGGUAGUCCACACCCCUAAACGAUGUCAACUAGGUGUU
rnacentral:rRNA from 1 species